GGGACAGGCAGGCAGCCCUCAGCCAGGAUGGCCGGCCUUGGGGGUGAGGGCAGCUGUCUGUUCAUGGCUGUCCUGUGGGAGAGAGCAGAUGCAGCCUUGUGAACAAAUGAGCCUGUCACAGUUGGCAUCCUUGUGAAAUCAAAGUCAGCUGUACUCACUGAGUGAGCUACUUUCUUCUUGUGAUGCACCUGCUCCUGCUCUGCCUUCUGCCAUGAGUGGAAGCUUCCUGAGGCCUCACCAGAAGCAGAUGCUGCUCUCUUUUCUAUACAGCCUGCACAACCAUGAGCCAAUUAAACCUCUUUUCUUUAUAAAUUAUCCAAGCUCAAGUAUACCUUUGUAGUAAUGCAAAUGGACUAAUGCACUGUUCAAAAGAAAUCCGGUUGAAACUGGGUUUUGCAUAACUAGAUCUCUGACCUCUUGUUCUUUUGGGAUUGGGGAGGGCCAGCCUGCUCACUUGGGGACCUCCUCCUGACAGACUAGGUCUCAACACAGUGGAGAUUUCCAGCCCAAACCUGUAUUAAUCCUCUCCCUCCUGUUGAAUGUUUCUUUCAUGGGAGCUGAGCUGCAGGAUUAGAGCUCAUGAUAAGCCAUUCCAAAGUGUUUUAUGGAAACCAUGAGCUCUCUGGCAGAUUCCCUGCAGGCUUAGGAAUGAAGGAUCCUCCUCACAGUUGUUGUGUGUCUAUACCUCAGAUGCCUGUCACAAAACCCAAGAGGGUCCCAGUGAAUGGAAGAAAGGCUUCCCGAGGUGAUUUCCUUACUAUAAGACAGACCCUGCACCAGGCUGGAUUCUUUCUUUUUUUUGCCAUGCCACAAUGUCGGGAGAGGAGCUGAAGGUCAUACCCUCACACAGGUAGGAGGGUCUAAGUCAAGCCUAUUUUGGAAGGCAAUGUGCUCACAGAAACAUCAUCCAACUUUGAGGUCAAGGCGAGAGGCUGGAAGAAGGUGCCAAGAAUGACAGAUUCUGCUCCGGUGUCAAGGACAGAAGCUGCAUAUUCCACUGUGAAGGCCACAGCUUUUUCAUAAGAAAAGUGCAAUUUACUGAUGAUCAAAUAGUUCAUUUAAGAGAUUCCAGUGAGGAGUGGAAGAUGAAUUGAAGGAGAUAUUAGAGAUGACAUUCAUGAAUUGAACAGAGGAGUUACCCAGAUGAUCCCUGAGAUAUCUUAUAAACCCCAG
ensembl:lncRNA novel transcript